GCCUGGGUGGCUCAGUCGGCUGAGCGUCUGACUUCAGCUCAGGUCACGAUCUCGCGGUCCGUGGGUUCGAGCCCCGCGUCGGGCU
rnacentral:tRNA from 1 species